GUAGGUGGCAAGCGUUGUCCGGAUUUACUGGGGCGUAAAGGGGCCUGUAGGCGGUUCGUUAAGUCCGGUGUGAAAUCUCCCGGCUCAACUGGGACGGGGUCAUCGGAUACUGGCGGACUAGACGGGGGGUAGAGGAAAGCGGAAUUCCCGGUGUAGCGGUGAAAUGCGUAGAUAUCCGGGGGGAACACCAGUGGCGAAGGCGGCUUUCUGGGCCUACCCUGACGCUGAGGGGCGAAAGCGUGGGGAGCAAACCGGAUUAGAUACCCGGGUAGUCCACGCCCUAAACGGUGGAUGCUAGGUGUCGGGGGGUGUCGACCCCUUCCGUGCCGUAGCUAACGCUUUAAGCAUCCCGCCUGGGGAGUACGGCCGCAAAGGCUAA
rnacentral:rRNA from 1 species